AGCAAGGUCAGCUAAAUAAGCUUUUGGGCCCAUACCCCAAACAUGUUGGUUAAAGUCCUUCCCUUGCUA
rnacentral:tRNA from 4 species